GAUCCUUGGGGGUCACUUCCAACCCAGAAUAUUCUGUGAUUCUGUAAUCUGCAGAAAUAAAAAGGGGGGAAAAAAAAAAGCAAACACAGAAAGUUUUCUGUAUUAUGUGGGUCCCCCCAUCACUAAACAAAGGUGAUCCUGACAUCUUCGUGGUGGUAUCUGAGUCUGCUGGUGGUGAAGCUUACCUGGGUAAGCCAGCUUACCCCAGGGUUCAUUCACACCUUUAGACUGCAUGUGAGGCUUGCCAGGUGCCCAAGGAGGAUCAUCAGAAGUGAUGUUCUUGGAGAUGCUUCACCAGGAUAACCCGAUCCUGGCUCUAAAAGAGCGCUCACAGAUAGGGGAAAAAUAUGUGGCAGAGGGGAAGCCAAUGUGUAAUACUCACUGCAGCCUGUCAAUUUGACUUUUAAUGAUGUUAUAAAUCUGCUUUAAAUUCCUGGUCAGUUUUAAAUAGAUCAGCUGGACAAUUUUCCUUCAUCUCUCCUUUCUAUCUUAUUUUCACUGUAUCCAAAUGUCAUCCCUUUCUGUCCUACUGCAUAACUGCUUACUCAGUUCUGCAAGAAAUACAAAAAUUCUACUUUCCUAGAAACAGAAGCUUUGGGGGAUUUUUCAUAAUUAAGGACAUUUGAUCUAUGAUUUUUUUUUCAUGACCCUUAAAUAAAGUAAGUAUAAUACAGGUAAUAGGGGGCAGAAGUGUUUUUUUUUUUUUUUUCCCCCAAAGGAAAUUAAUUAUUCCAACUCUUAUUUUCAUCCUGAAUUAGAAUGAGGUGGCAAAGCACCAAAUUAUCCCUGCACUGGAAGCUUAAAAAGCUUGUCUUUAAGCAACAUCCUAAUUUUAGUUUUUGCAAUCAUUCCUGCUAACAUACUGCAAUUAAAUAACUGUGGGACAACUCUCUGGGCUACCUGGGCAGAAGGAUGCUGUGUGCACACACUCUGGGGUGCACAGGGUAGAUCACUGUUUGUCUGGGAUAUCCAGCUCUCCAGCAGCUCAGUCUUAGUUACAGUCACCAUUCCAUCACAGAUCUGCUUGGGGAUGGUGGGCUAGGAGGGAGGAUUUAUGGAUGUGAAUAUUGCUGUUACAGUGUUUUCUUUUAAUUCAUCAAGCUACUGUUGGAUGCUUGCUUUUUUUCUCAGUUUGAUACAAACCUGAAUACCACAGGGAUUUAUUAUAAUUCCAUAUGCACUGUGAAGUCCAAAUGUAGGGUAAGCUAAAUCAUAGUAUAAUCUGCCCUAGGAGCUUUAGUCAUGCAUUCAGAUGGGAAACUGAAUUAUUUUACAGGAGAUAUAAUUAAAUCAGUGAUUCCUCUCUGUAGAAAAGCUCUAUGAGCCAUCUUAACAAAUGCUGUUACAUGCUUCCUUAGGGACUAACACAGGGGCAAACAAAUAUUGAAACAGUUUUUGAUUUUAUUUUGCAAAUGAAAAUGUCAAGAAUCAGAUCUACUUGCCCCAAGAAGAAAUAUUAUAUUUAAAAUUACCUAAAACAAAUUUGAAUGUCAUGGUAAAAUUGAAAUUUUAACAGAUACAUUUUUUCAUUAAAAAUUUUUGAGCAGAAAUUGUCCAAAAGUUCCACAGGCUUGUUCUGGCAUUUCAAAUCCCUGUAAUGCUUUUAGUGAACUGCUCUGGUAGUAACAAGUCAAAAGGAGUAUAUUAACAGAUAAACUAUUCCUAGGUUACAUUCUGUUCUUCAUUAAAUUAAUGAAGUGUUACUGAAGUUCUUCUCCAGUUUUUACAAUUAACACUGUUCCUCAAAUUUGCUCAGCUUAGAGAAAGUAAAGGCAUUUUUCAUAUUGCAUCUCCUUGGUGAUAUAAACUGGCAGAAGAGAUAACAGCAUGACUUUAACAUGUUGCUGUUAAAUGCCCAAAUCUUUGGCUACAAAUUAGUCAUAGUUGAUACAAAAACCAUGAAAUCACCUGUCUUUAGAAUUCCAUUAUAUUAUCUGGUGGUAAGAUAUUUGAAUGUGGAUACUGCGAGCAAGGAAUUGUUCCUUACACUAUGUCAUGAUAUUCCUAUUAUUUCUCUGAAAUUAUACCCAUACUGUCUCCAUUGCCAUUGCCAUUCUGCAACAUACUUUCACAAUGCAAAAGUAGCAAUUGCUGAAAAGUAAGGUAAUUGUGCCUUAAAUUCAAGAGGGAUUGCAUUAUGAGAAUUGAUGGAAAAGGACUACAAAUGAGAAUUAUGGUAAAGUGCAGUAACAAUUAAUGGACACAGUAAAAGUGGAAUCUAUUCAUACACAACAAUGUACAAAUCUGUCCCAGCAGUGUCUCCAAGCAUUCAGAGUCAGGCAGCACAAGUUGAAAGAGGGGAAUUGAAUUAGAAAGCAAAGGGGCAAAGAAGAGGGAGAUAUCACUGUUGAAGUAGGUGAAACCUGUGUUAGAAGAAAGUUAGCAGUAGGUUUUGAAGUAAGAAGCAGGUUUUGAAUUGAGGAAAAAUUAGUUAAUGAAAAGGAGAGGGCAGCAAAGGACAGAAUAAUUUAAUUUCUUACAGUUCAAAAACAUUUAAUGUUCCAAACUUUAUUGCUUUCCUCAUCUUUUAAAUCCUAUACCUACUUUCAAUUCCUUUCACAUUGCUGCUCAUAUUCUGAAUAACAAGGCAUUUUUAUUCUUUAAAAAAGUAGCAGACUCUGCUGUUUGUUGCACAAUACAUAAGAUGUAAUUGUGUCAGGAUUAUGAUAAGGGGAUGACUUGAUUUAUGUAAAAAUAUUGUGGGGGUUUUUUACCCCAAGAAAGCACUUGAGAGAAACAUAUAGAUGAGGAUCCAGAGCCAGUUAGAUAAUGAACUAAUUUCUAUGAGUCUUUGGCAGUUUGAGGUACACACUACAGAAAUUAUUUUUCACACAGAAUUCUUUAAAACUCCUGUACAUUUUACCAUCUGCCCUAGAGUUCUAUUUCUAGAUAAUUUUUGAUCUUUACAAAACAUCUGGUAGUAUCACUGUCUUUCUGCAAAUAUUUUAUUUUAACUCAUUCUUUUUCAACAGAGAGAGCUGGUCACAAGCAUAUGUACACCCACAAAUAGCUGUUGCCUUUUAGUAGUCUCCACACCAUAUGUUAAUUGAUGCUGUAAAGAAAUGGCACUUAAAACAAAUGCACAGAGAUAAGCAUAGAUAUCUCUGCCCUUAGCUUUCCUUCACAAGCAAUUAAUACCAAGGUCAAUCAAGUUAAUCUGCAGGACAUGAUGGUUCUUUGUUUUCUAACUUAUAAGCUGAUGGCCUUCAAGAUUUUUGUAAGUUUCUCAGCAAAAUAAGUAAGGGAGAGGCAUUUCAUUUGUCCCUGCAUUGCUCGGUGAUUACUCUGGGAUGGAAUGUCUCUGAUCUUUAGCCAGGUGGGAGCUGCACAUGAUUACUCAGUGCUUCUUGCUGAGCACACUAAGGGCAUUGGACAAAAUCAUCCAUCAGGCACCAGCCCAGGACAAAUGAAAGGUACAUUUCUUAUAAUUCUUAAAUGAACUGUAGAAAUCAGAAGUACAGACUGUUGUAGAUAAUGUAUCAUAAGGAUUCAAAAACCAUGAGAUGUUCCAGUAGAAGCUGGCUUACAUAAAUCCUGAGUAUUUUACAGAAACAAACUUAUCCUUGAUAAAUCUCCUCCACCAAAUGUCUGCUAUUAGCCAUUUCAGAGUCAGGAGAGAGGGCUACCAGCAUUUUUUAUAUCAUCAUGAUCAUUCCUAUGAUAUGUUCCAUGCUCACAAACUGGUGUGCAGAAUAAUGUCUUUCACUUUCCAAGAUGUGUGAUUUCUUAAUGACCAUGCCAAACAGAAUGGAUUUUGGUGCAGCUUAUAAAUAAUUUCAGUAAUCCUAGCAUUCUCAGCUUGCAUUAUCACUUCAUUUACUCCUAAUAUUAAAACCUGCAUUCUACUAAAGUUUCAGGCACAGUUGUUUUUCAUAUGGAGUAUUUUGCCUUUUGUUAUUUUAAAAAGCCAUCUCUCUGUCAGUAUCAUAUAACCCUUUUAAGUAGAAGAAAAUUUUAAGACUUUGAAGACUUGAAAGAACUGCUUAUUACUGUCCUAUAAAACCUGAUCAUGUCAGCAUACUGACAUAGCACUUUUUUACCACACAUAAUUUUGCACUUUGUAUUUGUAUCAUUAAAACUUAACAUUCGUUCAAAUACAUAAUUUAAUACAAGUUUUUUCACAUGUAUAAUAUUUGUAUUUGACUCAAAGAAAUUUUAGACUUCAGAAGCAGAGUGAACAGAACUCUUUGAUGGUUCAGAUCCAGGGAAACUUGAUGAAAUUGUUUGUGCAGGACUUUACAUUUUCCCCUUGUUGAAGUCCAAAGGCUCCUCUCAGCCCAUUUUUCCAGCCUGGAAAGUCCUACUGGAUGGCAGAAUGACCCUCUAAGGUCUCAACCAAUCCUCCCAGUUUUGUGUCAUUGGCAAACUUGCUGAGGGUACAUGCUCCCCAUUGUUCAGACUGUUAAUGAAAAUACGAACUAGAAUUUGACUCAGAAUUGACCUCUGAGGUAAACUCCAAGUUAUUGGCCUCCAGUAAGACUUCAGGACACUUAGCACUACCCUCUGAGCCUGGCCAUUCAGCCAGUUUUCAAUCCAGCUCACUGUCUGGCAUUCAGACUAGACUUCGUUAGCUUCUUCAUGAGCAUCUUAGAAGAAAUGGGUUUGGACGUGAACCCAGUUUAUGAUACACCCGGAUCAGGUGGGAGUGCCUGAGUACCUCCACUGUGGGGGACCUUUCAUUUCUCUGGUGAAAGCACUCAUAUCUGAGUCUGGAGGCACUUCAGGGGUCUUUGAUAGUUUAUGACACCAUCUGAGACAUGACAGUUUUCUCUUCCUGUGUCAGCACAGCAGGGCCAGGAAUGCCCCAUCAGACCCUCCCUGGAGGAUGGGAGUUUUACAACCCCGAGGUUUAUGAAAGGAGGAGAGUUUAGCCUCACAAGAGGCACCACCCUAUCCCCAUAGGAUUUGUCUCUUACUUCACUCAUAGCACAUCAUUCACCCUGUGUUUUACCAGAUCAUUACACACCCAAAAGCUCCCCUCCCCCAUCUCCAACCCUAUCUUCCACAAAGCAUCCUGGGACCUCCACAAGUGGGGAGUGUUUUGAGUCAUUAACCCAUAACAGUCCAUAACCCAAAACACCCUGUGUCUUCCCUUUGGCAAAUAACAGGUUGGUUAAAGAUCCCUAUGAGGACAAGGGCCUGCAAAUGUGAGAAUGCUCCUAUCUCCUUUAUGUAGGGUGUGUAUAACUAUUUCACCCUUCUGGUCAGGCAGCCUGUAUCAGACAGCCACUACUCUGAUGUUUAUCCAUCAGUUUUUAGGUGGCUCAUCACCAUCCCCAAGCAGAGCUGCAAAUAUUCUGUCUCAUAUAAAGAGCUACUCCACCUUGUCUUUCCAGCCUGUUCUUCCUAAGGAGCCUUUGUCUCUCCAUUGCAACCAGUCAAGGGAUCCAUGGCACCAUGUCUUUGUGAUCUCAGGAUCCUAGCCCUGGAGCAGUACGCAGAUUUUUGAUUUAUGCUCACACCUCAUGUUGUGAACCUAAGUGUAUGUGCCCAUCUGGAUGUUACAAGGCAACACCCAUCGUACCAAGUGUCCCUACUUAUAAAGGUGCAGCUUCACAGUAAACAGGUAAAACUAAUGCUUGCUUUUAACUGCUGUUGCUGAGACACCAUUUUUUAGACCUAAUAGGGGUUUGUCUUUUUAUUUAGUUUCAUUGAUGAUCCAGUGCAGGUAGCUCAGUUUGAAAGCUGCAAUGUAAGCUGCAGGUUGAGCUCUGGAUGAUGAGAGCCUGAGGCAAGAAGCCAUGACUUGCCAACCCUUUGCACAACUAAGAGCACGGGCACUUAGGUCCCCUGCCAGGGGACAGACAUGGCAGGACCCUUUGCCCCCCAGACUGUCACUCAGACUGUGAUGGUAUAAAAGGCCAAGAGUUCCUUUGUUCUCGGUCCCUCCUUGGAAGUAGCAGCUCAAGCUUAGUUUUGUUUCUGGUUAUUGCACCAUGAUUAAGUUAUUUGAAGGAUCUGGAUGUCCAAGACUGCAGUCUUGGAAACUGGGAAACCUGAGGUCGAGCAGGUGAGGAAACCUGGUGUGAGAGCAGGAGGUGCAGCUGUGAAAGAGCCUUGGUCCCACUCAGGUCGUGCGAGAGUGACUGUGCCAGAGGGCUCCUGGAUGAUGAGACAGGAGUUUAUUUAAAAGUUUUAUCUUCACCCAUAAAUCAUUUCUGUUCUAAGCUGUUGUUAACCUGUUUUUGCAUUCCUUUCCCAUGAAAAGGUGCUAAAGUUUUAAGUAGAGUGUAACAAAGAAGAACCCCUUCUAGUGACAAGACAACUUAAAAAGGUCCUUUUAAAAGACUGACCCCUCUGGGAAGGAUGUUGAGACAUUUCCUUUUUUUCACGACUGAACAAUUUCCUUGAGAAUUUUCUCCCCAAAAAUCUCUGCAUCAGCUUGCCUCGCAGCCCUUGUUGCUCUGAAUAUCAUGAGGUAUGGCAUGGAAAUCUCCACUAUUAUUAGGUGAGAAGCCUGCACCCCUUUCCCUGACUUUAGGUGUUGUGGUAUUGUAUUGCUCAUUAAUCAAUAAUUAGGCAUAUUGUUAUAGAUGACUUUAUGAAGGCAUGAACUCAGUUUUGGCAAAGCAGUACAAUUUGUUCCAUGCAUGGCAGUCUGCCUUAGCAACAAAGUCUGGAAUCACAUUUCUUCUCAUUUUGAAGUCACAUUUGGAGAUUUUUCAGGUAUUAGAACUGCAUUUUCAAACCUCUCUGUGCUCUCAUUUAAGAUGUCUUUGGGAUUAUCUCUUCUUGUGAAAUUCUGACUGCUGACAUCAGGUACAUUCAAAUGGAAAAGAAAUUUCAUCUGUUUCAGGAAUAAAUCCCAUAUGCAUUCAAAAGAAAUCUUUCUUUGAAACUAUCAAUCAGCAAGUCAUGUUGGAAAGAAUUCAGACAUCACUAAAUAAACAUGAUGAUUUGCUCUGUGCUGAAAAUAUUGAUGUUGAAUAUUCAACAUGUAAUGACAGAAGAGAAAAAUAUUUGUUUGGUCUGAUUUAUACGCAUGUAGCCAGAAUCUCUUUCAGAAAGCAAAAUGAGCUACAUAUUGUUUUAUAAUGACACUUAGAUACAGCACAUGUAUAUGUCUUUUGGAAACAUCUUGAAAAGCAAAGGAAUUGUGGGAAAGUGAGAAACAAGCCUUGUAUUUCUUCCUUCCAGUGCUAGGCUCAGAAGAUAUUGUAGCAAAGAGCUGUAGACAGCCAGUGCACCUUCAUUUAAAAGCAGUUAAUACAAUCUUUGCCCCCUGCCUCAGCUUUGUUAGGUUUCAUGGUGAAGGAGGGGGAGGUUCUUCAUCAAGUUGAAUGAAAGAAUAGGAUCCCCACGAGUUCAUAGAAACUUACAUUUCAGAAAUUCAUCUACAAAAACGUUUCUUGCAUAAUGUGGUUUUUACUGUUAUUUCUGUUUUCUUCAUAUUCUAGGAGAGUAUUUUGUUUCUCACUGGGUUGCACACUGUUCUGAAAAGAAGACAAAAGGCCAAAAGACCACCAGGAUAUUUCUCCUUUUGAAGAAAACCAAUUGUUCUGGAGUAUCAAAAAUGUGCAUAAGACAAUGUGGAUCACCAGUUUCUAUCUCAGAAAAAAAAAAGUGCAUGUGUGCAUGAGUGCAGUGAUAUUACAUCUAAUAGAAACAUAGAGAAAAAAACUGAUUAAUUUGUUGUUUAAACACAAUAGUUUCAUUUUCCUUAGGUUUAUGUCUUAGAGAGAAUCAAAAAUUGAAAGACAAAAAAUAUCCUAAAUAGUAAGUAACUUAAAACUUUUUGUUUAUAUCAAUAUUUUGCCACUAAAAUAUGUAGAUUGCGGUCAUUUGACAGCUCUAAUGACUCAUGACCAUGUCCAGGGGACUACAGCCAUGCUAACCCAGUGUACCAGGAAGAACAAGAUACCUGAAAAAAACACAUUCUUGAAUUUGACGGGAGGCAUCUAAGUUCCAGUGGCAGAGAACUAGAUUGACUAUGACUCUAUGGUAUUGUCAAAGCAUAAUUUUAAGCCAUAGUGGCCCACAUCUAACGCCAAAAAGUGGUUCUGUACAGAACUUUAUAUGUUAUAGAUGAAAUCAACUCUUUCUUUGACUUUGCUUGACUUUGUUUCCUUUAACCAUUGUGUGAAAUGGAGUCAUACUUACAAACAAAUUAGCUCAUGUGGGAGAGGUAUGGGAAACACAAAGAAAAGCUCUCUGAAUUAAAUUGCUUAGAAAAAAAUUGAGCAUUUCCAUCAUUGGGGUUUUUAUUUUUUUGGGUUUCUUUAGGAAAGAGUUUAAUAAAGUUAUUCCCUUACAGUUUUUAAGCAGUAUUGAAUACCAUUCAAAUGAUACCUCACCUGUUUAGAGAGGAGUGAGGCAAAGGAAUCUCUUGUUUAUCCAUCCUGGAUGUGAAAUGUGAGCAUUUGGCUGAAACUCAGUGACACUAGAACCUGACUGAUUCCCAAGAUUCAGACCUUUGAGCAGUCCUCCCUUCUUUUGUCUGCAGAAGAAUAUUUUAUUUGUCUAUAUCAUGUGACAGACAUUGUAUACAACAGAGUGACUGAUGUAUGGAUGAUACUCCCAAUGUCCUACUAAAUGCUGAAACUAGACAUAAGAGAUCUGUAGACUUUGGCUACACAGCUGGCCAAGCAGUAGCAGAAAACUUCCAAUUGAGGAAGCAAGAGAAAUGACAGAACCAGAAAUAAGCCUGGUUUUUAACCAGAGGUAAGCUGCAGAGCCUUGGGAUAUAGUAUCUUACAAGGUAACUAAGUUGUCAAAGUCACAACUGAAUCUUCUAUUAUCCUGACAUCAAGGGUGUCAGGAUAAUAAUUUUUUUUUAAUUUUUAAAAUUUUUUAAACUGAGGGAAUAAUUAUAAAGUCAUGUUAGAACACACAUCUGGUACAAGGACAUUCAGUUUCUUUGCUCCUUUUUCUUAUAUGUAGGGUUACAUGUGCUUACAAUUCUGGAUAGGUGCUAGCUGUUCCAAGCAUUCUUGGACAGAAUAUUAGUGAAAUAAGGAGAAUAAGUGCACAGAAAAGCCACUCACAAUUCAACUUUUACUGAAUGUUUUGAAGAAGUUUUUUUUUUUUAAAUUUUGUUAUUGUAGUUGUUUGGUUCUUUUGAUGCUUUAUUUUUGUAUGUAAUACUACGAAAAUGGUGAGGGUCUUUGCUGUUGAAACUACCUUGGUUGUAUACAAAUACAACCUGGACCACUUAUCAAAUGUCUAUGUUUUCCAUACCAAAGCCUUAACUAAGUACAAAAUGCAUUUAUAUUGUUUGAAAUGCAUAUAAAUAUUUAAAAAUUAUAUAUUGAAUGUAAUAUUUUAUUAGAAUACAUCUAAUAUUAAUAAGGUUUCUUUUGAAUAUACCAUGUUUAUACCUGUCAAUAUCAAUGUUCUCAAAAUUUUAUUGUAAUAAAAAAGUAUUAAAAUUUGA